GGGAGAUGGAGUCCGGGAGCCGGGGCGCCGCGGGGCUUUCUGGGAACUGUAGUUCUCAGCCGUGCUCUCAGCGGGCCGGGAGGGUGCGCGUCGCUCGGAGAGGCCACCUCCCCUGUGCCGGAGGGACGCGCGACUGCGCGCGUUGUGCCAGCCCGCGAAGGAGGCCAAGGCCGUGUAGAGCCGGGUGCCGCCCCGGGAGGCAAGUUCCUGUGUGAGGCUGAAAUCGGGCCCGUCUGCCAGCCCAGCGUCUGCGCAGCUGCGGCCCGGGCGGGACCGGGAGGCCGAGCGGCCGCGUGCCCGCCGCUCUGGAACCGCGAACCUGGCCUACAGCGUUCCAGCCUGAGGUUUUGGAAGAAGACCCGCGCGAAGGAGUAUAUCCUGAAGCCGCUGAGGUCGAAGCCACCUGUGGUUGCUUUACCAGGGAAAUUUAGGAUUAAGGGACGCACGGUAGCACAGAAGAAUGGGCUCCCCGGCCCCAGGCUUCGCAGACUCAAGCGCUGGCUCUGUGGCCUGCUGGAACUACUAUGCCUGCCUCACCUUGCUCAUGUUCAAAAUAUGCGUAACGUCGCGGACGUCUUCGUUAGGGUUCCACCGACUGAGUACAUUCCUGUACAGCUUGACAGCAGUGGCUCCCAGAUAAGCACUCGGCAUUAGUCUUCAUUCACUCCAGUGUUAGGAGUUAUUAAAUAAGAUCUGAGCAUUUUGCUCUUUGCGCUUCUAUGUGUUUUAAAUUUCUUAGUAGUUUUGUGCAGUAAGUGGAAAUGAGGAAACACUCAGGCUAAAUGACUGCCCUGUGUUCGGGGAACAAGUAGCGCCCUUGGGGCUACAAGUCUCGUCUAAUGGAUCAUUCUUCCGACCACCACACCAUGACUUCCUUGCUCACAUUCUUCUAGCUUGGAUCUAUGAAGCUACAAAGCUGCAGUGAUUCUGUACACACCUCGGAGUCAAGUAAUGGGUUGGGCAUUCAGGCAGUCCUCAAUUUAUAAACAGAAACUGACCUUUGCAUGGGCUGCACAGAAAUUUCUCAGUCCUAAGAUGAUCUCUGCAUGUUUCAAAACGUCUUAGGACAAAGUUCAUUAGGAUUUAUGCUCAUGUCUACAGUAGGGAAUUAUGGACAGACCUCUCUAUGGAAAAGUAAACUGAGAGCAAAUCGAAUUGCUUGGUACCCUCUCCCUCCGCGCGGGAUGGAGCCUCACUCCAGAUCCUUGCUGAUUUUAGAAUGCACCCAUAGGAGCUGACUGCACUGAUAAGUGCAGGCUUCUCCCGUCCAGAACUCAGAAUCCGUAUUUCCCACACUGUUAACGAUGGUUUGUGAGUCAGACACGUUAGGGAUAUUAUUCAUUGCAUAAGCUUAUUUAAGUUUGACCUAGCACCCUAAAUGCCAAGCAUGAUUUCCUUGGAAAAUAGUUUCUAAGCUGCUGGUCUCAGGGAUUUAACUUGCAGGUAUGAGUGAAAUUCCUGUAGUUUUUCAUUUUGGUGUGCCAAUCACUAAGGCUCAGAGACAUUCGAUCAUUUAUUUAUUUGAUAGGUAUUUCUUGAACAUCUACUGUGUGCCAAGCACGGUUUUGUAGCUAUGGGUACAAAGGUAGACAAAAAAGAAAUUACCUGCCCUCAUGUUGGAUUUGGUUAAGAAGUUUGGUUAGGAAGACAGACUUUAAUCAAAUAAUCACAUAAGCUACAGAUUGUGAAGGAGCUGUGAGAGUAAAAUGCCCUGGCCUGGGAGUCCCAGAAAGCUCCCUUGAAGAAGUGCCACAUGAGCUGAGAGCUCGUGGGUGAGGAAGACUAAAGGUUGUAUUAACCAUAUUCUUCUUCUUCCUUGACGCUCUGAUAUUUGGAACCUCACAGACGCAAGGGGGAUUGUCCCUUCUCAGGAUUAGCAGAGUCCUAGAGAUAGCCAACAAUUUGCGGGGCCCCCAGCAUAGCUUUCAUAGGCAAACUAACCAAUCCAGAGCCCCAAACGCCCUUCCCCACCUCCCCUUUGGCUGCUACUCUCUGCUAUUUACCUUUCCUAAUCACCCCAGGUCCCUACACUCCCCCACUGAAAUAAUUCAAACUGGCCAAUUCUAAACCUGCCUACCCUCCUUCGUCUGUUCUUUUCCAUAUGGAAACCACAAUAAAGGCUUUUGCCCACAUUUUCCUCCCACCUCUUCAGCCUCCUGACCAACCUUGGUGCUUCCCCCGCAUGUGGCGCUGCCUGGCCGGGCACGGCAUACAUGCACCUCAGGAACAGUGAGUAACAAGCUCUCUUCUCAGUGGCAAUCAUCUCUUGAUGUCAUCAUACCUAAACAAUAAAUAAAACCUACAUUUUAAAACAGGCAAAGAAAACAGUGUAGGGUAUGGAGCAGGGAGCCGCUAACAUUCUCCCGCCAGCAGAGACCCGGGUGAGGUUGAGCUUCUGCUCCUGGACUUGUGCAGUGGGAACAAACUUCCUUCCCUUGUACUAGACCAUCUUUCCCUUACCUCAUCCCAUGUAAGGACAGAACUGGCCAAGACAGAGUUGGGGUGUCAAAGAGACAGAAGUCAAGGGCAAUGGCUAUACUUCAAGCCUGAGGGUUGUACCACUGAUAGAUAAGGGAAAUCAGGAGAUUAGGCUUUUUGAUGGGAAGAAUCUAGAUAUCACAUCAACGAGCAGAGAAAACGCUUUUAAGAACCUUUAGCGAAUCCUUAAGCAGAUACUUCAGAAAUCACAUCAGAUGACUCUAACCUUAGUAAAAUAAAGAGAGGGAAUGGAUAACUAGUUUUAAAUCAGAAAGUUUAGCUGUUUGGGUAUAGUCAUUAUAACUUCCGAAGAGAAGGAAGAAGGGACUUCAUUUGUACUGUUAAUGCUGAUUUCCUCAGCUAGGUGGUUACGUGUGUAUUCUUUAUGUUAACAUUUGUAAUAUUUUGAACGUCUUGAAUAUUUCCUAAUGAUUUAAAAAAGUGUAUUGGGAGAUUGUUGGGCAAGGAGGUAGUGUGAAUAAUUAUG
ensembl:lncRNA